GAUGAACGCUGGCGGCGUGCCUAAUACAUGCAAGUCGAGCGAACGGACGAGAAGCUUGCUUCUCUGAUGUUAGCGGCGGACGGGUGAGUAACACGUGGAUAACCUACCUAUAAGACUGGGAUAACUUCGGGAAACCGGAGCUAAUACCGGAUAAUAUAUUGAACCGCAUGGUUCAAUAGUGAAAGACGGUUUUGCUGUCACUUAUAGAUGGAUCCGCGCCGCAUUAGCUAGUUGGUAAGGUAACGGCUUACCAAGGCGACGAUGCGUAGCCGACCUGAGAGGGUGAUCGGCCACACUGGAACUGAGACACGGUCCAGACUCCUACGGGAGGCAGCAGUAGGGAAUCUUCCGCAAUGGGCGAAAGCCUGACGGAGCAACGCCGCGUGAGUGAUGAAGGUCUUCGGAUCGUAAAACUCUGUUAUUAGGGAAGAACAAAUGUGUAAGUAACUAUGCACGUCUUGACGGUACCUAAUCAGAAAGCCACGGCUAACUACGUG
rnacentral:rRNA from 1 species